CCUCGUUCCCCCCUCCGUCCCCCCUCCAUCUCCCCCUCCCUCUCCUUCCACUUUUAGACAACACUCGCAUGCGACAGGAGGAGAUGGUCAGUGCCUUGUUUAGUGUUCUUCAUGGAACACGUGCUCCCCCCAGCCCACCUCCGGACCCCCUGCUGUCAAACUGAGGGGUAUCCUGGACCUUAGUCUCUUCACUGUAACAGACCAUACCCCCAUGGGGAUAGAUGUGGACAUCUUCAGCAAGCUGGGACUCAGGCAGUGCCUGGUCACACAUAAACGAGGACCUUAGCCCUAAGACCAUGCCUCAGGACUACCUGGCAUGAUGUCUC